AACGAACGCUGGCGGCAUGCCUAACACUUGCAAGUCGAACGAUGCCUUCGGGCAUAGUGGCGCACGGGUGCGUAACGCGUGGGAAUCUGCCCUUGGCUUCGGAAUAACAGUUAGAAAUGACUGCUAAUACCGGAUGAUGUCCCCCUGAGAGAUCUUGGGGGCCAAAGAUUUAUCGGCCAGGGAUGAGCCCGCGUAGGAUUAGGUAGUUGGUGGGGUAAAGGCCUACCAAGCCGACGAUCCUUAGCUGGUCUGAGAGGAUGAUCAGCCACACUGGGACUGAAACACGGCCCAGACUCCUACGGGAGGCAGCAGUGGGGAAUAUUGGACAAUGGGGGGAACCCUGAUCCAGCAAUGCCGCGUGAGUGAUGAAGGCCUUAGGGUUGUAAAGCUCUUUUACCAGGGAUGAUAAUGACAGUACCUGGAGAAUAAGCUCCGGCUAACUCCGUG
rnacentral:rRNA from 1 species